rnacentral:rRNA from 1 species
GCAACGGAUAUCUCGGCUCACGCAUCGAUGAAGAACGUAGCAAAAUUGCGAUACCUUGGUGUGAAUUGCAGAAUCCCGUGAACCAUCGAGUUUUUGAACGCAAGUUGCGCCCGAAGCCAUCCGGCCGAGGGCACGCCUGCCUGGGCGUCACGCAUCGCGUCG